rnacentral:misc_RNA from 1 species
AUAAAUAUAGAUAGUUAGUACUUGAUCAAAAUGGAUUUACAUAAGUAGCAAAGCAAGAAGCCCCAAAGUUUAUAACAAGAGUAACAAGAAAGGCAUACAUAAUGUGAUAGGAAAACACACUUUUAUUUCAUAUUACAAGUCUCAUUAAGUUCCUCAACAUAUUUUCUGCCAAACCAAAAGUGCAACACUAACUUGCUUAAGUCAUCGCCCCUCGUCAAGUCUCCAGAAAAGCUUCAACAGAAAUGGAAGCUUAACUCAAAGGUUAAGGGCUUGGGCAUGAUGACGAAUGUGAUCAUCAAUGAAGGUGGCAAUGAAGAAGUAAGAGUGGUCAUAACCGGGUUGCAGCCGCAGCAGUAGAGGAACAUUAACCUUUUUACAUGCCUCUUCAAACUUCUGUGGGAGCAGUUGAUCUUUAUAGAAUUUGUCGUCCUCCCCCUGAUCAAUAAGAAUGGUAGCAGAGACAUCAUUAUAUUUUGAUACAAGGCAAGUGGCGUCAUAUUCCUCCCAAUCAGCUUUA